AGUGAACGCUGGCGGUAGGCCUAACACAUGCAAGUCGAACGGCAGCACAGUAAGAGCUUGCUCGUACGGGUGGCGAGUGGAGGACGGGUGAGGAAUACAGCGGAAUCUACUUUUUCGUGGGUGUUAACGUAGGUAAACUUACGCUACUACCGCAUACGACCUACGGCAGAAAGCAGUGGCACUUCGGACCUUUCGCAGUUGAAUGAGCCGAUGUCGGAUUAGCUAGUUGGGGGGUUAAAGGCCCACCAAGACUAUGUUCCGUAGCUGGUCUGAGAGGAUGCUCAGCGACACUGGAACUGGGACACGGUCCAGACUACUGCGAGAGGCAGCAGUGGGGAAUAUUGGACAAUGGGAGCAAGCGUGAUCCAGCCAUACCGCGUGGGUGAAGAAGGCCUUCGGGUUGUAAAGCCCUUUUGUUGGGAAAGAAAAGCAGAAGGUUAAUACCCCGCUGUUAUGACGGUACCAAACGAAUAAGCACCGGCCAACUUCGUG
rnacentral:rRNA from 1 species